AGCGAACGCUGGCGGCAGGCCUAACACAUGCAAGUCGAACGAAGCCUUCGGGCUUAGUGGCGGACGGGUGAGUAACACGUGGGAACGUACCUUUUGGUUCGGAAUAACGCAGAGAAAUUUGCGCUAAUACCGAAUGAGCCCUUAGGGGGAAAGAUUUAUCGCCGAAAGAUCGGCCCGCGUUGGAUUAGGUAGUUGGUGUGGUAAAGGCGCACCAAGCCUACGAUCCAUAGCUGGUCUGAGAGGAUGAUCAGCCAUACUGGGACUGAGACACGGCCCAGACUCCUACGGGAGGCAGCAGUGGGGAAUCUUGCGCAAUGGGCGAAAGCCUGACGCAGCCAUGCCGCGUGAAUGAUGAAGGUCUUAGGAUUGUAAAAUUCUUUUACCAGGGACGAUAGUGACGGUACCUGCAGAAAAAGCACCGGCUAACUACGUGCCAGCCGCCGCCGUAAUAC
rnacentral:rRNA from 1 species